rnacentral:misc_RNA from 1 species
GAUGAAGAACGCAGCGAAAUGCGAUAAGUAAUGCGAAUUGCAGAUUUCAGUGAGUCAUCGAAUCUUUGAACGCACAUUGCGCCCGCCAGUAUUCUGGCGGGCAUGUCUGUUCGAGCGUCAUUUCAACCAUCAAGCCCCCGGGCUUGCGUUGGGGCCCUGCGGCUGCCGCAGGCCCCGAAAAGCAGUGGCGGGCUCGCUGUCACACCGAGCGCAGUAGCGAUUCUCGCUCCGGGCGUCGGCGGCGGGCACCGGCCGUGAAACCCCCCCACAUCCACAAGGUUGACCUCGGAUCAGGUAGGAAUACCCGCUGAACUUAAGCAUAUCAAUAAGCGGAGGA